UGCAAGCAGCAUUAGACCAAACCCAC
rnacentral:piRNA from 1 species